GUUAGUGCACGAAGUAUGCAAACUGCCAUUAAACAUUAUAGAAGAAGAGGAAGAAGCUCCACAUGUUACAUCCGGAUAGUCCUGGUCCUAGCGGCAUGGUGUGCUUUCAAUAAUCAUGCACUUUUUCUUCCUGCCUAUGUCACCUCCAUCAUAUUAGAUGGCAUUGAUGGCUGGAUUGCACGGAGGCUCAACCAAACUUCCAGGUUUGGGGCCUGGUUAGAUGUUAUAAUUGACAACAUGGGUCGGAGCAUGGUGUGGAACAUGUUGUUUCAAUGGGGUUGGCUAAUUUCAACUCUGGAGUGGUGUGUGUUUGUCUGUAACUACAGUGCUUUUGGUGUUCAGUGGAAGAGUAGCUUUAAGGAGAGUCCAUAUUGGGUAAACGCUAUCAUGGCCAAAGGUUUUAAAACACCCCUGGGAGUGUUCACGGUUGCUGGCCUGCACGUCUUGCCGGUGUGGUUGUAUGGAUGCCAGCAUGGGGUUCUUACCAACACAUUUUACAUCCCAGAAUGGUGCCAGGGCUUGGUGCUUCUGCUUUUGAUUGCAGGGAGGCUGCUGUGUAUGUCUGUGGAGAUGUGGUGCAUUUGGACCCAUGUGCUCUACCUCACCGACAUCAAGGAAACCAAACACAACUGACAGACUGGAAGGACUGCUCCUCAGCCAGCAAAUCAGUGCACAAACAUCGCCGUCACAUUUACUGGCACUCUUGGCGGCCCAGGCUCCAAAAACUGGAAACAGAGGGGGCAGCCUGUCCCCCAAACAAAAACGAAACCCUGCGUUAAAUUUCUCUGGGUAUACUGAAGGUAGGAUGAGCUACCUCUCUGGCAUUUUGUUUGGUCCUUGGUUAAAAUAAAAUGGAUGUUUUUUUGCACAAAAGCAUAUGAUGAAACUGAAAUAUAAAGAUAAACACAAACAAAUGUGACUUCCUGCACAAUCCUUGACUGUACCUUUAAGAAUCAAUCAUAAUCAGAGUAUCUGUAUUUUUUUUUUAAAAUUAUAUACAUAUUCCACCAAAUUGUCUCUAUAUUGUUUUAUCCAAACUCCUAUCUGGUCUAUUUGCUUUUAUUUAUUCUUCAGACAUUGAAGCAAAGUGUAUGUUUUGGUUACUUAAGUGACCUUUCUCCACUAAAAGUCUGUUAUUAUAAGUGACAGUGUUGUUAGUGCAGGAUAUUCUGGGGUAUUACACUUGAAGAAUGCUGACGGCUAUUUACUUUUGACACUGCCAACACCAUUCAACUGUUAACAUGAUACAAUUAAAAAACCUCUCCAGAAAAAUGGUUCAACUGUGGACAAGCAUACAAUACACUCUGAGUAGUGCUCCCUCUGGCUGUGGUGUUCAGAAGCAGUCUGUAUUGAUAUAUUUGUUCACAGCAGAUGUUAUCAGGUAUUCCCAUAACACAACAAGGCCUGUCCAUCCAUUUACAACAAAAUGGGGUUUGACAAUACGCCAUGCCUGUUUACCAUAGAAGCUGCACUUUACAUGUCUCACACGCUGAGGUUACAGCACUAUUUGAUUACAUCCCAUCUCUGAGAUAAAAUCUCUUCGGUACGGAAAGAGACGAA